GCUCCUUUAGCUCAGUUGGUAGAGCGCAGCACUAGUAAUGCUGAGGUCCCCGGUUCGACUCCGUGAGGGAGCA